UUUGGUGGCGAUAGCGAAGAGGUCACACCCGUUCCCAUGCCGAACACGGAAGUUAAGCUCUUCACCGCCGAUGGUAGUCGGGGGUUUCCCCCUGUGAGAGUAGGACGCCGCCAAGC
rnacentral:rRNA from 1 species